rnacentral:lncRNA from 1 species
GUGACCUGAGACAUUCAGUGCCACUUGUGUAUUCCAGACAUUUGUCUUUCUGAGAGAAGCAGUGCUACCACUUUUUUUUUUUUUUUCUUUUUUUUGAGCCAGAGUCUCGCUCUGUUGCCAGGCUGGAGCACUGAGACACAAUCUCGGCUCACUGCAACCUCCCCCUCCCGGGUUCAAGCGAUUCUCCUGCCUCAGCCUCUGGAGUAGCUGGGACUACAGGCGCCCGCCACCACGCCCGGCUAAUUUUUGUGUUUUUAGUAGAGACAGGGUUUCACCAUGUUGGCCAGGCUGGUCUCAAUCUCUUGAGCUCGUGAUCCACCUGCCUUGGCGUUCCAAAGUGCUGGGAUUACAAGCUUGAGCCACCGCACCUGGCCCACUUUUUUACCUUCUCAAAACCCCAACUCUCCUGUAAUUCCUGAAGCCCAGCCUCAACUGAAUAGCAGAGAGAUUUUGGCUUUCAUUCCAGAAUGAUGUCUCACAGAAAGUCAACUCGUGUUCCAGAAUAAUCUACUGGAAGUAGGAUUACCAAAUCAAAGAGUAUCAUCAUUUUCAAGACUUUAGUACCUAUCGCCAAGAAAGCUGUAUCAAUUUAUAUUCACAGUAUAUUAAUGUCUUUCUGAAACUGACUGAAUUGAUUAAUGUCAUUUAAAAAUCAUGCUAUCUUGUUAGGCCUCUGAUACUUUGUAUUUACUGGUAAGGCUGAAAAUUGUUUACAGACUAAUGAAACACAUUAUAUAUUAAGGUUAUUUAUUUUGUGCCUUAAUAUUUGAAAAAAUACAUCUUCUUAUCAGUUUGCUUUUUGUCCUUUUUGCUGAUUGUUUAUGAUCUUUUUUGACAUACAAAAAUUUUAUUUUUCUCUAUAUUUCAAUGUAUUGAACUUUGUAUUCUGUAAUUUCUUCUAUUACUGUAAAGUAGAGAAAAUCUGCCUGUAUCUAGAUAAAUAUGCAGAAAUACAUUCUCGUUAUUUAAUUAAUUUUUCAAAAAUAUUUCUUGAAUUUAUCUAGGAUUUGUUAUACGGCGUGAAAAAAAUUUAUUUUUCUCUGAUAAGCUAAAAAUCAUCAUGCACAAUUUAUUACUUUUUCCCCACAGCUUAU